GAUGAACGCUGGCGGCGUGCCUAAUACAUGCAAGUCGAGCGAACAGACGAGGAGCUUGCUCCUCUGACGUUAGCGGCGGACGGGUGAGUAACACGUGGAUAACCUACCUAUAAGACUGGGAUAACUUCGGGAAACCGGAGCUAAUACCGGAUAAUAUAUUGAACCGCAUGGUUCAAUAGUGAAAGACGGUUUUGCUGUCACUUAUAGAUGGAUCCGCGCCGCAUUAGCUAGUUGGUAAGGUAACGGCUUACCAAGGCAACGAUGCGUAGCCGACCUGAGAGGGUGAUCGGCCACACUGGAACUGAGACACGGUCCAGACUCCUACGGGAGGCAGCAGUAGGGAAUCUUCCGCGAUGGGCGAAAGCCUGACGGAGCAACGCCGCGUGAAUGAUGAAGGUCUUCGGAUCGUAAAACUCUGUUAUUAGGGAAGAACAAAUGUGUAAGUAACUAUGCACGUCUUGACGGUACCUAAUCAGAAAGCCACGGCUAACUACGUA
rnacentral:rRNA from 1 species